GAUAAACGCUGGCGGCGUGCCUAAUACAUGCAAGUCGAGCGAACGGACGAGAAGCUUGCUUCUCUGAUGUUAGCGGCGGACGGGUGAGUAACACGUGGAUAACCUACCUAUAAGACUGGGAUAACUUCGGGAAACCGAAGCUAAUACCGGAUAAUAUUUUGAACCGCAUGGUUCAAAAGUGAAAGACGGUCUUGCUGUCACUUAUAGAUGGAUCCGCGCUGCAUUAGCUAGUUGGUAAGGUAACGGCUUACCAAGGCAACGAUGCAUAGCCGACCUGAGAGGGUGAUCGGCCACACUGGAACUGAGACACGGUCCAGACUCCUACGGGAGGCAGCAGUAGGGAAUCUUCCGCAAUGGGCGAAAGCCUGACGGAGCAACGCCGCGUGAGUGAUGAAGGUCUUCGGAUCGUAAAACUCUGUUAUUAGGGAAGAACAUAUGUGUAAGUAACUGUGCACAUCUUGACGGUACCUAAUCAGAAAGCCACGGCUAACUACGUGCCAGCAGCCGCGGUAAUACGUAGGUGGCAAGCGUUAUCCGGAAUUAUUGGGCGUAAAGCGCGCGUAGGCGGUUUUUUAAGUCUGAUGUGAAAGCCCACGGCUCAACCGUGGAGGGUCAUUGGAAACUGGAAAACUUGAGUGCAGAAGAGGAAAGUGGAAUUCCAUGUGUAGCGGUGAAAUGCGCAGAGAUAUGGAGGAACACCAGUGGCGAAGGCGACUUUCUGGUCUGUAACUGACGCUGAUGUGCGAAAGCGUGGGGAUCAAACAGGAUUAGAUACCCUGGUAGUCCACGCCGUAAACGAUGAGUGCUAAGUGUUAGGGGGUUUCCGCCCCUUAGUGCUGCAGCUAACGCAUUAAGCACUCCGCCUGGGGAGUACGACCGCAAGGUUGAAACUCAAAGGAAUUGACGGGGACCCGCACAAGCGGUGGAGCAUGUGGUUUAAUUCGAAGCAACGCGAAGAACCUUACCAAAUCUUGACAUCCUUUGACAACUCUAGAGAUAGAGCCUUCCCCUUCGGGGGACAAAGUGACAGGUGGUGCAUGGUUGUCGUCAGCUCGUGUCGUGAGAUGUUGGGUUAAGUCCCGCAACGAGCGCAACCCUUAAGCUUAGUUGCCAUCAUUAAGUUGGGCACUCUAAGUUGACUGCCGGUGACAAACCGGAGGAAGGUGGGGAUGACGUCAAAUCAUCAUGCCCCUUAUGAUUUGGGCUACACACGUGCUACAAUGGACAAUACAAAGGGCAGCGAAACCGCGAGGUCAAGCAAAUCCCAUAAAGUUGUUCUCAGUUCGGAUUGUAGUCUGCAACUCGACUACAUGAAGCUGGAAUCGCUAGUAAUCGUAGAUCAGCAUGCUACGGUGAGUACGUUCCCGGGUCU
rnacentral:rRNA from 1 species